ACAUACCUAUCGUUGCCUCGGCGGUGCCCGCUCCGGCGGCCCGCCAGAGGACCCCCAAACUCUUGUUUUAUACAGUAUCUUCUGAGUAACACGAUUAAAUAAAUCAAAACUUUCAACAACGGAUCUCUUGGUUCUGGCAUCGAUGAAGAACGCAGCGAAAUGCGAUAAGCAAUGUGAAUUGCAGAAUUCAGUGAAUCAUCGAAUCUUUGAACGCACAUUGCGCCCGCCAGUAUUCUGGCGGGCAUGCCUGUUCGAGCGUCAUUUCAACCCUCAAGCCCCCGGGCUUGGUGUUGGGGAUCGGCGUGCCCUCGCGGCGCGCCGUCCCCUAAAUCUAGUGGCGGUCUCGCUGUAGCUUCCUCUGCGUAGUAGCAACACUCGCACUGGAUCGCAGCGCGGCCACGCCGUUAAACCCCCCACUUCUGAAAGGUUGACCUCGGAUCAGGUAGGAAUACCCGCUGAACUUAAGCAUAUCAAUAAGCGGAGGAAAAGAAACCACAGGGAUGCCCUAGUAACGGCGAGUGAAGCGGCAACAGCUCAAAUUUGAAAUCUGGCCCCCGGGUCCGAGUUGUAAUUUGUAGAGGAUGCUUUUGGUGCGGUACCUUCCGAGUUCCCUGGAACGGGACGCCAUAGAGAGUGAGAGCCCCGUCUGGUUGGACGCCAAUCCUUUGUAAAGCUCCUUCAACGAGUCGAGUAGUUUGGGAAUGCUGCUCUAAAUGGGAGGUAUAUGUCUUCUAAAGCUAAAUAUUGGCCAGAGACCGAUAGCGCACAAGUAGAGUGAUCGAAAGAUGAAAAGCACUUUGAAAAGAGAGUUAAAAAGUACGUGAAAUUGUUGAAAGGGAAGCGCUCAUGACCAGACUUGGGCUUGGUUGAUCAUCCAGGGUUCUCCCUGGUGCACUCUUCCAGCCCAGGCCAGCAUCAGUUCGCUGUGGGGGAUAAAGGCUUCGGGAAUGUGGCUCCCUCGGGAGUGUUAUAGCCCGUUGUGUAAUACCCUGUGGUGGACUGAGGUUCGCGCAUUCGCAAGGAU
rnacentral:rRNA from 1 species